rnacentral:rRNA from 1 species
GCGACCCCAGGUCAGGCGGRAUUACCCGCUGAGUUUAA